rnacentral:rRNA from 1 species
GAUCCUGGCUCAGGAUGAACGCUGGCGGCGUGCUUAACACAUGCAAGUCGAACGAAGCACUUAAUAAGAUUUCUUCGGAUUGAUUAUUUUGUGACUGAGUGGCGGACGGGUGAGUAACGCGUGGGUAACCUGCCCCAGACCGGGGGAUAACAGUCGGAAACGACUGCUAAUACCGCAUAAGCGCACAGUGCCGCAUGGCACGGUGUGAAAAACUCCGGUGGUCUGGGAUGGACCCGCGUCCGAUUAG